rnacentral:rRNA from 1 species
GGCGGCGUGCUUAACACAUGCAAGUCGAACGCACCUUCGGGUGAGUGGCGGACGGGUGAGUAACGCGUGGGAAUCUGCCCUCAGGAGGGGGAUAACGGCUGGAAACGGCCGCUAAUACCCCAUAUGCCGAGAGGUGAAAUGAAUUUCGCCUGAGGAUGAGCCCGCGUCUGAUUAGCUAGUUGGUGGGGUAAUGGCCCACCAAGGCGACGAUCAGUAGCUGGUCUGAGAGGAUGAUCAGCCACACUGGGACUGAGACACGGCCCAGACUCCUACGGGAGGCAGCAGUGGGGAAUUUUCCGCAAUGGGCGAAAGCCUGACGGAGCAACGCCGCGUGAGGGAUGAAGGCCUCUGGGCUGUAAACCUCUUUUCUCAAGGAAGAAGACAUGACGGUACUUGAGGAAUAAGCCACGGCUAAUUCCGUGCCAGCAGCCGCGGUAAUACGGGAGUGGCAAGCGUUAUCUGGAAUUAUUGGGCGUAAAGCGUCCGCAGGCGGCCUUGUAAGUCUGUCGUUAAAGCGUGGAGCUUAACUCCAUUUAAGCGAUGGAAACUACAAGGCUUGAGUGUGGUAGGGGCAGAGGGAAUUCCCGGUGUAGCGGUGAAAUGCGUAGAUAUCGGGAAGAACACCAGUGGCGAAGGCGCUCUGCUGGGCCAUAACUGACGCUCAUGGACGAAAGCCAGGGGAGCGAAAGGGAUUAGAUACCCCUGUAGUCCUGGCCGUAAACGAUGAACACUAGGUGUCGGGGGAAUCGACCCCCUCGGUGUCGUAGCUAACGCGUUAAGUGUUCCGCCUGGGGAGUACGCACGCAAGUGUGAAACUCAAAGGAAUUGACGGGGGCCCGCACAAGCGGUGGAGUAUGUGGUUUAAUUCGAUGCAACGCGAAGAACCUUACCAGGGUUUGACAUCCUGCGAAUCCCUUGGAAACUUGGGAGUGCCUUCGGGAGCGCAGAGACAGGUGGUGCAUGGCUGUCGUCAGCUCGUGUCGUGAGAUGUUGGGUUAAGUCCCGCAACGAGCGCAACCCACGUCUUUAGUUGCCAGCAUUCAGUUGGGCACUCUAGAGAGACCGCCGGUGAUAAACCGGAGGAAGGUGUGGAUGACGUCAAGUCAUCAUGCCCCUUACAUCCUGGGCUACACACGUACUACAAUGCUACGGACAAAGGGCAGCAAGCUCGCGAGAGUUAGCAAAUCCCAUAAACCGUGGCUCAGUUCAGAUCGUAGGCUGCAACUCGCCUACGUGAA